rnacentral:rRNA from 1 species
UACAGAGGUCUCAAGCGUUGUUCGGAUUCAUUGGGCGUAAAGGGUGCGUAGGCGGCGCGGUAAGUCGGGUGUGAAAUCUUGGAGCUUAACUCCGAAACUGCAUUCGAUACUGCCGUGCUUGAGUUCGGGAGAGGGACGCGGAAUUCCAGGUGUAGCGGUGAAAUGCGUAGAUAUCUGGAGGAACACCGGUGGCGAAGGCGGCGUCCUGGACCAAUACUGACACUGAGGAGCGAAAGCCAGGGGAGCAAACGGG